GACAGAGGCCUCAAGCGUUAGGCGGAAUCACUGGGCUUAAAGCGUGUGUAGGCGGAUCGUUAAGUGUCUUGUGAAAUCCCACGGCUCACCCGUGGAACUGCUGGGCAUACUGGCGAUCUUGGGCCAACUAGGGGGCAACUGGAACAAGCGGUGGAGCGGUGAAAUGCGUAGAUAUCGCUUGGAACGCCAAAGGUGAAAACAGGUUGCUGGGGUUGUGCCGACGCUGAGACACG
rnacentral:rRNA from 1 species